rnacentral:rRNA from 1 species
CAGACCUCUAAUCGGAAAAGACUACCCGCUGAGUUUAAGCAUAUCAAUAAGCCGGAGAGAA